UACGUAGGGUGCAAGCGUUGUCCGGAAUUAUUGGGCGUAAAGAGCUCGUAGGCGGCUUGUCGCGUCGGCUGUGAAAACCUGGGGCUCAACCCCGGGCCUGCAGCCGAUACGGGCAAGCUAGAAUUCGGUAGGGGAGACUGGAAUUCCUGGUGUAGCGGUGAAAUGCGCAGAUAUCAGGAGGAACACCGGUGGCGAAGGCGGCGUCCUGGACCAACACUGACACUGAUGAGCGAAAGCCAGGGGAGCAAACGGG
rnacentral:rRNA from 1 species